rnacentral:rRNA from 1 species
GUCCAGACUCCUACGGGAGGCAGCAGUGGGGGAUAUUGCACAAUGGGGGGAACCCUGAUGCAGCGACGCCGCGUGGGUGAAGGAGUGCUUCGGCAUGUAAAGCCCUAUCGGCAGGGAAGAAGCAAGACGGUACUUGACUAAGAAGCCCCGGCUAACUACGUGCCAGCAGCCGCGGGAAUACGUAGGUGGCAAGCGUUGUCCGGAUUUACUGGGUAUAAAGGGCGUGUAGCCGGGCCGACAAGUCAGAUGUGAAAUCCGCGGGCUUAACCCGCGAACUGCAUUUGAAACUAUUGGUCUUGAGUACCGGAGAGGUCAUCGGAAUUCCUUGUGUAGCGGUGAAAUGCGUAGAUAUAAGGAAGAACACCAGUGGCGAAGGCGGAUGACUGGACGGCAACUGGCGGUGAGGCGCGAAAGCGUGGGGAGCAAACGGGAUUAGAUACCCCGGUA